GCGGGCGCGUGUUCAAACAUGCAAGUCUANCCGGACAGAUGGGAGCUUGCUCCCUGAUGUUAGCGGCGGACGGGUGAAGUAACACGUGGGGUAACCUGCCUGUAAGACUGGGAUAACUCCGGGAAACCGGGGCUAAUACCGGAUGCUUGUUUGAACCGCAUGGUUCAAANAUAAAAGGUGGCUUCGGCUACCACUUACAGAUGGACCCGCGGCGCAUUAGCUAGUUGGUGAGGUAACGGCUCACCAAGGCAACGAUGCGUAGCCGACCUGAGAGGGUGAUCGGCCACACUGGGACUGAGACACGGCCCAGACUCCUACGGGAGGCAGCAGUAGGGAAUCUUCCGCAAUGGACGAAAGUCUGACGGAGCAACGCCGCGUGAGUGAUGAAGUUUUCGGAUCGUAAAGCUCUGUUGUUAGGGAAGAACAAGUACCGUUCGAAUAGGGCGGUACCUUGACGGUACCUAACCAGAAAGCCACGGCUAACUACGUGCCACCAGCGCGUAUACUUAGUGGCAGGCUUGUCCGAAUUAUGGGCGAAAGGCUCGCGGCGGUUCUUAAGUUGAUGGAAACCCCCGGCUCACCGGGAGGUCAUGGAAACUGGGAACUUGAGUGCCAGAAGAGAGAGUGGAUUCCACGUGUAGCGGUGAAUUGCGUAGAGAUGUGGAGGAACCCAGGGGGAAGGGACUUUUGGUCUGUAACUGACGCUGAGGAGGAAAGCGUGGGGAGCGAACAGGAUUAGAUACCUUGGUAGUCCACGCGUAAACGAUGAGUGUAAGUGUUAGGGGUUUCCGCCCCUUAGUGCUGCAGCUAACGCAUUAAGCACUCCGCGUGGGGAGUACGGUCGCAAGACUGAAACUCAAAGGAAUUGACGGGGGCCCGCACAAGCGUGGAGCAUGUGGUUUAAUUCGAAGCAACGCGAAGAACCUUACCAGGUCUUGACAUCCUCUGACAAUCCUAGAGAUAGGACGUCCCCUUCGGGGGCAGAGUGACAGGUGGUGCAUGGUUGUCGUCAGCUCGUGUCGU
rnacentral:rRNA from 1 species